rnacentral:rRNA from 1 species
GACGAACGCUGGCGGCGUGCUUAACACAUGCAAGUCGAACGGAAAGGCCCUGCUUGCAGGGUACUCGAGUGGCGAACGGGUGAGUAACACGUGGGUGAUCUGCCCUGCACUUCGGGAUAAGCCUGGGAAACUGGGUCUAAUACCGGAUAGGAGCCAUUUUUAGUGUGAUGGUUGGAAAGUUUUUCGGUUUUGGAUUGAGUCGCGGCCUAUCAGCUUGUUGGUGGGGUAAUGGCCUACCAAGGCGGCGACGGGUAGGCGGCCUGAGAGGGUGGACGGCCACAUUGGGACUGAGAUACGGCCCAGACUCCUACGGGAGGCAGCAGUGGGGAAUAUUGCACAAUGGGCGCAAGCCUGAUGCAGCGACGCCGCGUGGGGGAUGACGGCCUUCGGGUUGUAAACUCCUUUCGCUAGGGACGAAGCUUUUUGUGACGGUACCUAGAUAAGAAGCACCGGCUAACUACGU